AACGUAGGUCCCGAGCGUUAUCCGGAUUUACUGGGCGUAAAGCGUGUUCAGGCGGUCUAGCAAGUCGGGCAUGAAAUCUCUCGGCUCAACCGAGAGGGGUUGUCCGAUACUGCUGGGCUUGAGGGCAGCAGAGGGUGGUGGAAUUCCGGGUGUAGUGGUGAAAUGCGUAGAUAUCCGGAGGAACACCAGUGGCGAAGGCGGCCACCUGGGCUGUACCUGACGCUCCAACACGAAAGCUAGGGGAGCGAACGGG
rnacentral:rRNA from 1 species